AGCGAAAAAAGCGCGACCCUUUUGCGGUCUUGAAAAAACGAUCCCAACACAUCGUCCUCAAGAUUAGUGUUCCUAAUUUCCCGCAAUCACGUAGUUUCCUAGAAAUUUCCUCGAAUUGCUGUAGGAAGCUGAUUGAGUUGGGGUUUGACAAUUAGCACACUGUUCCUUUCACUCAUGGAACACCACCUUCAACAUCAUAUAUAGAGAGAGAGAGGAAGAGACUCUGAUCUGCAUCAGAUCUGAAGCUCAGAAAAGUUCACUCUAUUUCUACUGCAGCUCUAAAUCUCCGUGACAAAAAACAAAAAAAAACAGCCGAAUUCCACACGCCUUUCUCAAUUCAUUAAAGUCGGUCACCGCCUCCGCCGGUAUGAGUCUCUUCUCUAGCUUUUUCUGCAGUUGCUUCUCUGGUACGAGGAAGAGCGUGAACUGCGAAGGAGACUACUACGUGCAGCGCGAUUCGAGAAGCAACAAAGAUCGUGUCGCGAGCGAAGAGAAAUCGAAGAAAAAAGCGAAGAGGAAGUCCAAGUCCCCGCCCAUUGUAGUGACUCAUUUCCCCGGUGGAUCUCGGCUCUCUCCUCUCUGAAGAAAUAGCAUCGAUCAUCGUCAUAUCACUUAGAUUGCGAGCAGAUUUGGUCGAUUUUGUUUGUCAUUUUUUCUCUACAUACUUAGUUGAAAAACAGAGUAUUUGGCUCCUGAGUAGGAGCUUUGGAAGGACAGUCACCUGGUGCUCCAAAAGCACCUAAUAUUUUUUUUUUCUAAUCCAGGAAUAUUACUUUCAUUGCUCAAUUUACAAAGAAACCUAAGUAGGAUCGCACUUAAAACUUAAGCAAUCACAACGUAUGUAAAAUAUGGGUUAAAAAAAAUAAAAGAGGAAAAUGGUUGAAAAGUCAAAAGAAGCAACAGCGAUGCUCGGCUCGUUUUAAGAAGCCAAGAGCACAAACAGAAACAGAAGAAAAUAGAGGAAAAGAGGAGAAAGGAGAGGAAAGGAAAGAGGAAGAAGAAAAAGAGAAAAGAGAAGAGGGCUUUGCACCGCGGGGGUCUCGCUAAGCCGAUUCGACUUCGUAACGCAACGCUCCGUAUUCGAGUGCGUCGGCUCGAGAAAUCGCCGUAGGUUAGUUUUUCGGCUUUUCAAGGUUCUUCAUCGAGCCGCAAGUAGGGCUUGAGAGUUUCGAUAUCGGGGUGGACAUUUUGAUAGUGAAGACUUUUUGGUACGAGUUAUGCAUAGAUGUGGAGCUUAAUGUAUUAGCUUGUUUCUGGUUAUGU